CGCUGAAUUAUAGGGGUGAGUUCAGGCAGAGGAAUGGCCUCUGUUCCUCUGCAUCUCCAUGGUUGGAUCAGUGCGUAGCGGUUCACCACUGAGGCACAGAGACAUAGAGUUUUUGCGAUUCAAGUUCACCCAUAGCAAAUAGCGAGGAGCCUCAGGAGAUCGGCAUGAGUUCGAUCAGAACCUUCCGAAGAGAUCCUGCUUUACGAAUCCUCGUUCUUUCUUUUGCCUUUCCAUCAUGGCGGCAUCGAUGGCCUGGCGAUAGAACUUGUCAGUAUACUCCUUGGCCAUGCGGGUGGCAGAGAAGUUUGGACCGUUCAUCCUGAUGGCCUCCUUCAUCACCGUCACCCAGCCAUGAGGAAUGCCAUCCUCGCCCAGAUUAUAAUACAGUGGCACUAUAUCCUUCUCCAGAAGAGUAUAGAUAGAGGCUGCGUCCUUGGCAUCUCUCUGUAGCCCAUCAUCCGCACCAGAGAACGCCCAGCCGUUUUUGCCAUUGUACCCUUCAAUCCACCAGCCGUCCAGGACGGAUAGCUGGGGAACGCCAUUCACCGAAGCCUUCAUUCCGCUGGUUCCGCUCGCCUCCAUGGUAGGGAUGGGGUUGUUCACCCAGACGUCGACGCCAUGCACAAAAUACUGGGACAGCAGCUCAUCAUAGUCUUCGA
rnacentral:rRNA from 1 species